rnacentral:snRNA from 1 species
NNNNGGAAUGAUACCAGAGAAGAUUAGCAUGGCCCCUGCACAAGGAUGACACGCAAAUUCGUGAAGCGUUCCAUAUUUGA